UUGACCUCGGAUCAGGUAGGGAUACCCGCUGAACUUAAGCAUAUCAAUAAGCGGAGGAAAAGAAACCAACAGGGAUUGCCCUAGUAACGGCGAGUGAAGCGGCAACAGCUCAAAUUUGAAAUCUGGCUCUUUCAGAGUCCGAGUUGUAAUUUGCAGAGGGCGCUUUGGCUUUGGCAGCGGUCCAAGUUCCUUGGAACAGGACGUCACAGAGGGUGAGAAUCCCGUACGUGGUCGCUAGCUAUUGCCGUGUAAAGCCCCUUCGACGAGUCGAGUUGUUUGGGAAUGCAGCUCUAAAUGGGAGGUAAAUUUCUUCUAAAGCUAAAUAUUGGCCAGAGACCGAUAGCGCACAAGUAGAGUGAUCGAAAGAUGAAAAGCACUUUGGAAAGAGAGUCAAACAGCACGUGAAAUUGUUGAAAGGGAAGCGCUUGCAGCCAGACUUGCUUGCAGUUGCUCAUCCGGGCUUUUGCCC
rnacentral:rRNA from 1 species